AGAGUUUGAUCAUGGCUCAGAAUGAACGUUGGCGGCGUGGAUUAGGCAUGCAAGUCGAGCGUACCCAGCAAUGGGGAAGCGGCAAACGGGGUAGUAAGGCGUCGGUACGUGCCUCCUGGACGGGGACAGCCACGGGAAACUGUGGGUAAUACCCGAUGACAUCGCGAGAUCAAAGGUGUGAUUCCGCCGGGAGAGCGGCUGACGUGGUAUUAGGUAGUUGGUAAGGUAAUGGCUUACCAAGCCUGGGAUGCCUAGGGGGUGUGAGAGCAUGGCCCCCACCAUUGGGACUGAGACACUGCCCAGACACCUACGGGUGGCUGCAGUCGAGGAUCUUCGGCAAUGGGCGCAAGCCUGACCGAGCGACGCCGCGUGCGGGAUGAAGGCCCUCGGGUUGUAAACCGCUGUCAGGGGGGAUGAAGUCAUGGUGGGUUCUCCCAUCAUGUUGACAGAGCCCCAGAGGAAGCGCGGGCUAAGUUCGUGCCAGCAGCCGCGGUAAUAC
rnacentral:rRNA from 1 species